UUUUUCCACCUUUGUGAUCACCGUUUCCUCCUCGACAGGUUGACCGAAGCAAAACACCUAACUGCGACGUGAGUAGGAGGAGCCGCCACACCGGAGAGCCCCACCGACAGUAAGUUUCAGUUUUCUGUGUUUUUUUUGCCCACCAAGGGUCCUAAGGGUGUUUUCUCACAGGAGCCGAUGCAAGUUUGGCUGAAUUCAGCCAAAAAUAGCCAACU
rnacentral:lncRNA from 1 species